CGGAGGGGGUGACCGGGUGGAAAAUCGUUUAUAAAAGGGUAUACACGUUGGUGAGUUUUACGAUUUGCUGCAAGGACGUCGGUGAUAUAACACUUGUUGAAUAUUCUGGUCAAAGCGAAGUGUGGAGACUUGGUCGCAAGUAACCGUUUAGAUUAGGGGUUGUGUAUUGAGACAGGACUCUGCGUUUAGGCAAGCUAAUGCCUAACGGAGGGCAGGCUUUCAAGUUGCCCCAAAGUUUAGCUGGGUGCAUUGUGUGCAUUGAAUUAAUUAUUUACGAAAACGAGUGAUACUCUUGCUGUAGUAAGGAUAAAAUAGUGAAAUUGAGCGUAACAAACGGCGUCGCCGCCGAGCGUCGCGUGAAACCUUACACCAACGGUGUCAAAGUUGUUUGUGAAACAUAAAAUUUUUGAUGUUGCUAUUAUCGAGAGGUAAUCAAAGCACCUGAAGCGAAUCUGGGAGUUGAAAUUCCCAGUUUGAUACCCAUUUCGCAAGUGAACCGCCUAAAACGGACAAAUCGCAACAGGCAAGGUGCGAGCCAAUAAAAUUCGCGCCGGCGGGCAAUCUGUAUAAUCUGUUCCGAAAUUUUACGGUUCGCCGAGCUUAACACCCCGGUGGGUAUUUCGAUCGGAAAUUUGUCGACUACAGUCGCAGAAGGUAGUGAGCGCAAUCUGCACAGAAGCCAAGCAUCUCUUAGCACGUAGUUGAUUUCGCAGGACCGACGGUGAUGUUGAUUGAAUUUUAAAGUUGAGCAAUUCAAUCAGCUUUUCGCAUUUCCGAAAUCGGGCGGAUUCGGUGCAUUUUAAGCGUUGCCAGGGUUGGCGAAAAUUCUGACCAGAAACUAACGGAGAAAAGUUUCGCUACUUCAGUUAAGCAAGACAUCUUUCGUGGAACUUCAGCAAUCAACAUAAAUUAGUAAACAUGAAAGCCACGCUGUGGCUCUGGUCUCUGGUGACAGCGCUGCUGUACGUCAGUCAACAGGUAGCGGCAGAACCGUACACCGAUACCAGGAUCUUACAGCCACAAGACAAUAGCCUGGUUGCCCCCGCCAAACGAACGAAGCCCUCGCUGUCGAUAGUAAACCCACUGGAUGUGCUGCGACAACGAAUCAUUCUCGAGAUGGCCCGAAGGCAGAUGCGGGAGAACACUAGACAGGCCGAGAUAAAUAAAGCGCUCCUUCGCGAGAUUGGAAAGCGAAGCCACCGUGACUUCGCGCCUAGCGAGGAUGAUGGCCCAGUACGUCGUUUCAGCCGGACCCAUUUCACCUAUCACCAGCAACCUAUACUGCGGCGCUAUGGACCUUCCCCCGAACGAGCAUUUCCGGACAGCGUGGAUUACGAGCUGCUGGAACCAACAACAAAUCGAAAGACAACCAGCAGAGCGAAUAACUAUCGCACCAGUAACCAGAAUGGUGCAGCAACUAUGGACGAACAGAGCCCAAUUAACAGUGGCAACAAUAGUCCUAGCAGCAGUAGCAAUGGUGACAGUGGGGUUCUCACUUUAGCUCAGCAACAACGACAACUUAUGGAGCAGCUGGAACGAGAGCAACAGCCGCAGGUACACGUCGAAGUGCUCCAUCCCCAGGAAUUACGAUUCUCAUCCGAUGAUAGACUAUUGCCACCGAACCGCUUUCCUAUCAACCACAGCGAGAAUGGCAGCGAGGAAGAUGAAGAAUAUUUCAGUAACAGAAUCCAAAAGUUCCCAGAGCAAACUCAACCAGCGAAUGACAAACUGAAAAGUGAUGACUACCGUUCAAGUGAUUUGUUUAACAUGCAGGACAAACUCUUCGGUUAGGGAUCCCGAUAGGCUCCCGAUGGACCGACACAACGUGAUCUUUCCCUUUCCUCCUACGCUAGGACUUCAAACUCAACUACCCGGACCGAGCAUCAAGCAGCAGCGCACAACUGUUAAGAAGCAAUCGCACCAACCGAAACCAUCAGUCAGGUUCAUUUCAUCUGUCCAUUGCAGAUUCCUUUCUACACGCUGCACACAGAAUGUGACUGACUGCAAGCUAUGAGCACGCUUUAUCGGCGAUUGCAGUCAUACAAAUUGCAAUGCCCAGCUACUACUAUACCUACUGGACUGUGUGUGGUAUCUCUACUUCGAAAAAGCAACUCUGUUAGUUUGCUUGCUGUGCUUCUAUCCACUAGUAGUAAAUCCAGUAAUAAAUUGUUGACAGACUAAGGCAGCUCAUUUUACCCUACAAAUCAGCAGUGCGCGUUUAUAAAUAUAUGUUGAACUACAAAAAAACGAAAGGAUUGUAAAAUCAGUCAUCGAUAUAAAAAUGUGAAGUACGAUUUAUUUUGGUAAGAAUGUAAUUCAACGUUUAAAGUGUCAUGAAGGGCGCAACAAAUGUUGGGAAAACGAAUAAAAAAUGAGUGAAAUUUUCCGCAAAAACUUGACUGACAAGGUUGGUACCGUAAAAGUUACUCCGCUGUGUGAAUAAAAGAGUAGUUGACGACCAAAAGUCCUAUAGAAGUAGAAGCCUAUGAGCAGAAAAAAAAUUGUUUAGAUGUGUUCUUUGUAGCUCGACAUUCCAUACGCUUGCUUGCUCCGAGCGAAAUAAAAAGAUCAAUGUAUUUAUUAUCAUUGGAAGAAAUUGGAACUUGCUGGCACUUUAAAUAACCAUUCUAAAUUCAGCUUUUUAAAUUCGAAUGUAUGAACAAAGUCGGAAUGCAAUCAAACAUCUAAUUGUUGGAUUUUUAACGAUUGGACGCUUCGAAAGUAACCAAUACUUAUUACCUACAACAAAUAAAGUUACCGUUAAUAAAACAUGAAACAAAAGAGCUAUGUUUAUAAUAAAAGAAAUGAUUCCCAAUGUUUGCGAGAAACCAGCUUGAGAAAGAUUACACAAGACAAAACCUACAAUGGAACCUAAUAGAAUAAUCAUAACUAAUUGUACUUGUUGGUAAUCGUACGACAGCUAUGUACUACAGACUAAUGUUCUAAACCAGCUAAAACACAACAUAAGGCAACUAAAUUCUGAGAUAUAAAAUAAAAAAGAUGA